UUCUGUGACUGACGGAACAGUGGAUUGACCACAGUGGAGCAGAAACGGCAAAAGCCGACCGUCUGGGCAAUCC
rnacentral:ncRNA from 1 species